GCUGUGGUAGUUUAACAAAACAUUAGUCUGUGACACUAAAAACGGAAAUUCUCCCCACAAC
rnacentral:tRNA from 1 species